UACGUAGGCAGCAAGCGUUGUUCGGAAUUACUGGGCGUAAAGAGUGUGUAGGCGGUGCUCUAAGUUCGGUGUGAAAUCUCCCGGCUUAACUGGGAGGGUGCGCCGGAAACUGGAGUGCUCGAGCGUGGGAGAGGAAAGCGGAAUUCCUGGUGUAGCGGUGAAAUGCGUAGAUAUCAGGAGGAACACCUGCGGUGUAGACGGCUUUCUGGACCAUUGCUGACGCUGAGACGCGAAAGCUAGGGGAGCAAACAGG
rnacentral:rRNA from 1 species